rnacentral:sRNA from 1 species
AGACGUUGUUUAGAGUUCUUCUGUUAGCACAGCUGUUUCUAGGGUCUGGAAAAACUCUAAGGACCCCCAGGAGGAUACACACCAGAUUGGGUCUGGGCUCACACCACCCUGCAUCCCCAGAGCCUCCCUGGACGCUGUUUGCAAGGUCCUCACCGCCUGGAAGUCCAGGAGCCAUUUUUAGGGAACAGCAUUCAAACUCAACACGAAACGAAACUCAACCGAAAGCCUGCAGAGAGCAGAACAUGGAAGGAGACUUCUCGGUGUGCAGGAACUGUAAAAGACAUGUAGUCUCUGCCAACUUCACCCUCCAUGAGGCUUACUGCCUGCGGUUCCUGGUCCUGUGUCCGGAGUGUGAGGAGCCUGUCCCCAAGGAAACCACGGAGGAGCACUGCAAGGUGGAGCACCAGCAGGUGAGGAGGCGGCAGGGAGGAUGGGGUCUGAGAGUCAAGGCGAGUGUUCAGUCCUCCCUGCAGGAGAGAUGGGGUCUGAGAGGUGGGGGAUGAGGGUCUAGUCCUCCCUGCAGGUGAGAUGGGGUCUGGGAGUCAAGGUGAGUGUUCAGUCCUCCCUGCAGGUGAAAUGGGGUCUGGGAGGGGCAAGUGUUCCAUCUUCCCUGCAGGAGAGAUGGGGUCUGGGAGUCACGGAGUGGGUCCAGUCCUCCCUGCAGGAGAGAUGGGGUCUGGGAGUCACGGAGUGGGUUCAGUCCUCCCUGCAGUUGAAAUGGGGUCUGGGAGGGGCAAGUGUUCCAUCUUCCCUGCAGGAGAGAUGGGGUCUGGGAGUCACGGAGUGGGUCCAGUCCU